AAUACCAUCCUCAAGGAACUCUGUACAACGACAGCAACAUUAUCAUUUGAUUCAAAAAAACACUGUCAGAAGUUUAGCACCUCGAAUGAUCGAACAGAGAAAGUAGAAAGCCAACAUUACAGAAUAGGACCAAUCA